CAAUCUGAGCUCAGGCGUGAUUACCCGCCGAACUUAAGCAUAUCAUUUAGCGGAGGAAAAGAAACUAACAAGGAUUCUCUUAGUAACGGCGAGUGAACGGGGAGAAGCCCAGCGCUGAAUCUUUCGGUGUUACACCGUUAAGAAAUGUAGCGUGUAGGUGUGGUUUUGAGUUUGUGCUGAAUUUCCAAAGUCCCUUUGAUAGGGGCCACAUUCCUGAGAGGGUGCGAGACCUGUGCGGGCAGUGGAGCAAGCUGUACGAUCAUACCUUGGAGUCGGGUUGCUUGAAAGUGCAGCCUAAAGUGUGUGAUAAACUUCAUCUAAGGCUAAAUAUAGACGCGAAUUCGAUAGAAAACAAGUACUGUGAAGGAAAGUUGCAAAGAACUUUGAAGAGAGAGUUCAAGAGAACGUGAAAUCGCUGGAGUGGAACCGGAGAGAGUUGACGUUGCCGGGUAAAUGAGUCUACUAAUGUCGUUUAAUUGUGACUGCGGAAGAUGUAUGUUGCCUAUGGCUGCGCUGACAGCGCUGGCUUGCGUUAUGAACCGUUUAGCGUUGCCCACCGUUUCGGCGGUGAUGUCUUGCUGGCGGAUAGGUUUGUUGUGGCUAGCGUUUUUGCCCUACUUCAUUGUAGGGUGUCAGUGUGAAAGUCGACCACCUCUAUAGGUUUGUCGUGGCUAGCGUUUUUGCCCUACUUCAUUGUAGGGUGUCAGUGUGAAAGUCGACCACCUCUCCGACCCGUCUUGAAACACGGAUUGAGGAGUGUAACUUGUACGCGAGUCAAAGGGUGGAAACCCCCAAGGCGUAAUGAAAGUAAAGGUCGGUUAAUCGGCUGACAUGGGAUCCGUUUCGUUUACGAAGCGGCGCACCAUGGCCCUGUCUUGUCUGCUUGCAGAUGGGCAGCGGUAGAGCGUAGAGGUUGCGACCCGAAAGAUGGUAAACUCAGGAUAGCUGGAGUUCAUAGCGGUUAUAUCCGGUAAAGCGAAUGAUUAGAGGACUUGGGGUCGAAACGAUCUCAACCUAUUCUCAAACUUUCAAUGGGUAUGUUGUCUCGGUUUCUUCAUUGAACUGUUGACACGAACGCGAGCUCCAAGUGGGCCAUUUUUGGUAAGCAGAACUGGCGCUGUGGGAUGAACCAAACGUUGGGUUAAGGUGCCUAACUUUUCGCUCAUGAGACCCCAUAAAAGGCGUUGGUUGAUAUAGACAGCAGGACGGUGGCCAUGGAAGUCGGUACCCGCUAAGGAGUGUGUAACAACUCACCUGCCGAAUCAACUAGCAGGACGGUGGCCAUGGAAGUCGGUACCCGCUAAGGAGUGUGUAACAACUCACCUGCCGAAUCAACUAGCCCUGAAAAUGGAUGGCGCUUGAGCGAGAGACCUAUACCCAACCGUUGCUGGCUUGUGCGUUGUCUAGCGCCUGGCCGCAACGAGUAGGAGGGUCGUGGCGGUUGCGUCGAAGGCUUUGGGCGUAGGCCCAGCUGGAGCUUCCGUCAGUGCAGAUCUCGGUGGUAGUAGCAAAUAUUUAAGUUCGAUCCUUGAAGACUGAAGUGGAGAAGGGUUCCACGUGAACAGUAGUUGAAU
rfam:Heligmosomoides polygyrus genome assembly, scaffold: HPBE_contig0003325